UGGGGAAUAUUGCACAAUGGGGGAAACCCUGACCCAGCAACGCCGCGUGAAGGAAGAAGGUUUUCGGAUCGUAAACUUCUAUCCUUGGUGAAGAGAAGAAGACGGUAGCCAAGAAGGAAGCCCCGGCUAACUACGUGCCAGCAGCCGCGGUAAUACGAAGGGGGCGAGCGUUGUUCGGAAUUACUGGGCGUAAAGGGUGUGUAGGCGGUUUUGUAAGAUAGCGGUGAAAUGCCGGGGCUCAACCUCGGAAUAGCCGUUAUGACUAUGGGACUAGAAUUAUGGAGAGGAUAGUGGAAUACCCAGUGUAGAGGUGAAAUUCGUAGAUAUCGAGAGGAACACUCGUGGCGAAGGCGGGUUCCUGGACAUUAACUGACGCUGAGGUACGAAGGCUAGGGUAGCGAAAG
rnacentral:rRNA from 1 species